CUCUCCUGACAUGAACUGAAGCCACGUCUCGUGCUCGCUCCUCCACUGGCACAUUGAAUGUUUUCUCUCCAAGCACUUCAAAUCCUGUCCUGCCCUCAGUGAAAGAGUUAUGCUCUUCUCUAACACCAUCCAUCCAUCCAUCCAUGAUGAGCCUGCAUGUUCGAUUCCAGGCUGAAUCACAACCGGCAGUGAUUGGGAGUACCAUAGGGCGGCGCACAUUUGGCCCAGUGUCAUCUGGGUUUGGCCGGUGUAAAUAAGAAUUUGUUCAAAAUUGACAUGCCUAGUUAAACAAAAUAAAUGUUAAAUUCACAUUCCCCUAAAAUGUAUUUUAUUAAAUGCUUUAGGUUAAAAUAAUUAGUUUUUGAUGAUCCUCCUCAGUGUUUUACGUCACCAGCAUCCACUGACAGAACACGUUUUUAAGGUGUUGGUGGUGGCUGCACGUUCUUUUAAUUCGGCCAUUCUGUUGCUCCUGGGGGAGUUUUCUACACUGCCUGCCGAGUGUGGGCUAACCAGAAAUGUGACGCUUCGGCAUGGAUCCGAUUGCCGAUUAGUUGCAUUUUGGAGUAGACCCAGAGCUUGCUUUCUUUGGCAGCGUGGAUUUCGCUCAAAUGGGAAAGUACUUUUUUCUUUCUUUUUUCUUACGGUCAAUGUUGUCACAGUUGCCCGCUUUCUUGUUAGAGGCAGCUGCUAACGUCAGCUCGCUAUAGCUAGCUAUCUUCCUCCGUGUCUGAAUUAAUUUGUGGAUAUUUCUUUCUAGCUAGUGAAUUUUCCCCCAACUUUGGACACUAGCGGUUGGAGGACUAAAUCACCUCCAGCUCAAAAUUUAAUGGACUGGAAAAUAACGAUAAAGUCAAAAGGAAGCAAUAUAGUGAGGUGGACAUCUUCCAUGCAGUGAAGGACUUUGGGGAUGGGAUGACUAUCCACCAGGCUGCCAAGGUGUAUAGUGUACCCCGGAAAACCCUGACGGACACUCUGAGCGGCCAGAUAACCCAUGGUUGUCGCAGUGGACCACCCACAUUGCUUGCACCAGAGGAUGAAAAUUCUCUGGUGCAGUACUAUAUCUACUGCGCUAGCCAUGGGGUUUCCUUUCACCAGACAACGGCUAAUGACAUAUCCAACAAAAUAAGCAGGUUUUGGCACCGAGGAGAAACAAUCCCACCACUGGGGAAGAGGUGGUAGGAAAUGUUCAGGAGGAAGCACAAGAAACUGAGCAUGAGGAGGCCAGACACCCUGGACAGGGGGAGAGCUGAGUGUGCCACCCGUCCGAUGAUGGACACCUUCUUGGAGGAGAGUGGGUUGAGGGAGAAACCCAGGCAAAUCUGUAACUGCGAUGAGUCUGAGUUUUAUAGCGACCAGAGCAGGCAUAGUCCUGGCUCUCCGGGGUGCUAAACACCUGUACCAGCAGGCUCCGGGAACCAAGGAGCACAUUAGUGCUGGCCUGCAUCCACGCAGCUGAGGAGGAUGUCCCCUUGUCUCCUUCUCCCCUUCGAUGGGCAUAAGAGCCGCAUGGACCCGGAGGUGCUCGCUGCGGCUCAAAGGGAAGGGGUUAUACUACUUUGUCUUCCACCACACUGCACCCAUGUCCAGCAGCCGCUGCAUGUGGCAUAUUGUGGCGCUGUAAGGCUGAGUUCUCCAAGGUCGUUGAAGACCUCAGCCAUUUUGACCACUCCUAUAUCGUAAACAAAUCAGAAUUUCCUCGAGUAUUCUUCUACCUGUACCAGCGCUACUAAGACAUGCUGUAUGUGGUGGAAGGGUCCUUACCUUGCUGAAGUAUCAGCCAGACCGAUACAGAAGACUCCCUGUGGUCACCACAUACCCCACCAGGGAGGAAUACAUGCCCCAGUGGCAGGACAGUGGUGAGAGGGCAGAGAGGAAUACUGUUGGGCAGCCCUCAGAACAGAGGGCACAGGAGAGGGCUGCCAUGGAUGAGACCAUCGACGCCAUCGCCUAUGCUGGACCCCCCCCUCACUGGAACCAUACCUGACAGCUGCAUCACCACCGCCCAUGCCUCCCAGUGUGCAACACCUGUAGGAGCAGGCCAUGUGAAUGCUCUCUCCCAGCCACACGAUUGUCGGUUGCUCAAUCCCACCAACACCAGCUUCUCUAAGCCACCGGCGUCGGGUUUUGUCCACCACCACAAUGCAAACCAGCCCCCCCUGUCUGUCAACCCCGAAACGGCCUCCUCUGGACCAACUGCCUCCUCCAUCUCCCCUGGUCACUGAACCACAGCAGCCUCAUCUGGUAUUCCUGACCACAGCAAUUCGAAUACAGACACCUCUACAGCACAGAAAAGGAAGAAAAAAGCUCUACCGGCCACCUGUCACGCCACCCAUUGCACCACCCUCAGGUACUUCACAAUCUGUUUCUCUCUCUCUGUUGUAUCAAUUACUAUUGUUGCUGUAUUGCAAACCAUGUUAAUCAAUGGAGCUUGAUUUUUUUAUUGUGAUUUCUGUGAUAAUAUAGAGGUUGAAAUCUAAUUGUUUAUUUGCUUUUUCAUAUGCAAUUAUUUGUAAAAAAUGUCUAAAUUAUAAUAAACAUAUUUAUUCAACCCUU